GGAAACAAAGUCAUUUGCCUUUUAUGGUUUCAGUAAUUUCACUCACUAUGGUUUCACAACCUUUCUUCAUUCCACAGUGGGAUCAUUUGGUCCCACUUGGCAAACACGGGGCUUCUUUGUCUGUGCAUGUGUGUUUCUCAGCAAGAAGAAGAACAACAACAAAAAAAAAAUGUGGCUGAGGUUGAUUUGCAAUUUUUUACUGUGGCUUUGAAUCAUGGAUGAUAUCAGCGCAGCUCCAGAAAUUGGGUUUGUCAGUUAAGCCUCCCUCCCUGCCGGCUAAGCAGCAGAGCAUGAAACAUAAACCAUAAAGAAACAAUGACAGGGCUCAGGGGUUAUUUAUUGUUGUUCUUCAAAUACAUCUCCGUGACAGAAUGGAAAAUGGUCAACUGGGAAUCCAAACGAUAUUUUCAUCAAGCUCAAGAUAAUUUCUUAGGAGUAUCAGAACUUACUUCCCUCAAGCUGUUUGAAAAACAUGCUGCCUCUUCAGAUGUCAAACCAAGUAGAACAGGUGUACCAGGGUCAUAUAUGAAUCACCCUCAGACAAGAACCAGCUGCAUUAAAUGAUGGUGAUGGUGAAGAUGAAGACUGUGAAGAGAACAUCAGGAACUUAAAAACCCAUAAGAGCCUGACUUUCUCUUUGGUUCUGAGAAAUGCACCCCGAGCAAUGCUCUCAUCCUGACCACAAUCCAUUAGUCAGAGAGAAGAUCGAGGAAAACAACACAAAUUUUGAAGUGUGGGAACAUCACUAACACUGAACUGAAGCUUGAGAACUUGAAAGUGAAAGCGACUGGAAAUGAAGUGAAAGAGUUCAGUGAUGAAGAAUGAAAUGUGAAAAUGAAAUAACAUUUUAAAUGAAGCACACUUCUCAUUGCCUUUCAUUUAACUCUGACUCAAACUGGGAAUUCCUGUAACACAUUCAGGAUCCUAGUGAAGUGACCUACCUACUCUUUUCUGACGACCUUAUCAUAAAUAUCUGGGGAAUA